rnacentral:siRNA from 1 species
UAUUGAAUGAACUCUAACCUUCU